rnacentral:rRNA from 1 species
GACGAACGCUGGCGGCGUGCUUAACACAUGCAAGUCGAACGGAAAGGCCCUGCUUUUGUGGGGUGCUCGAGUGGCGAACGGGUGAGUAACACGUGAGUAGCCUGCCCUUGACUUUGGGAUAACUUCAGGAAACUGGGGCUAAUACCGGAUAGGAGCUCCUGCUGCAUGGUGGGGGUUGGAAAGUUUCGGCGGUUGGGGAUGGACUCGCGGCUUAUCAGCUUGUUGGUGGGGUAGUGGCUUACCAAGGCUUUGACGGGUAGCCGGCCUGAGAGGGUGACCGGCCACAUUGGGACUGAGAUACGGCCCAGACUCCUACGGGAGGCAGCAGUGGGGAAUAUUGCACAAUGGGCGGAAGCCUGAUGCAGCAACGCCGCGUGCGGGAUGACGGCCUUCGGGUUGUAAACCGCUUUCGCCUGUGACGAAGCGUGAGUGACGGUAAUGGGUAAAGAGGCACCGGCUAACUACGUG